UACGGAGGGGGCUAGCGUUGUUCGGAAUUACUGGGCGUAAAGCGCACGUAGGCGGCUUUGUAAGUUAGAGGUGAAAGCCCAGGGCUUAACCCUGGAAUUGCCUUUAAGGCUGCAUCGCUAGAAUUGUGGAGAGGUAAGUGGAAUUCCGAGUGUAGAGGUGAAAUUCGUAGAUAUUCGGAAGAACACCAGUGGCGAAGGCGACUUACUGGACACAUAUUGACGCUGAGGUGCGAAAGCGUGGGGAGCAAACAGG
rnacentral:rRNA from 1 species